UUUCUGUUCUUGCAGAUGACAUAUUAAAGAAUGUUGAGUAUGAUGCAUUGAGGAUUAUUUUCAACAAGAUUCGCUCGGUUGUCUUAUUUAUACCAACAAUGUCAACUGUAUUAUCACCCGAGAUAAUUCAGAGAGAAGCUGAAGCUGGUGGGAAGCUGGGUGAUUUGGGUUCGUAUGAAAUUGAAGGUGGUGAAACGAAGGCCGAAAUGCUCCAGAAUCUUACGGAGUUCCAAUUUUCAUGUUCCUGGAGAGUGCUUGCAGUGAGAGCAGGGAGCUAGGAUGUCUGCCAUGGAUAGCUCCAGCAGAAAUGCAGGCGAUAUGCUUGAUCGCCUAACUCUGACUUAUAACAGGACCCGGCAAGCAUCAAUCACAAAAGAACUGAUAGAGAUUAUAUCUGGAGCAUCAGCACUCUGGGGUUAACAUCACCAGCAGCAGGGUU